rnacentral:rRNA from 1 species
GCUUGCUCCUUUGAAGUUAGCGGCGGACGGGUGAGUAACACGUGGGUAACCUACCUAUAAGACUGGAAUAACUUCGGGAAACCGGAGCUAAUGCCGGAUAACAUUUGGAACCGCAUGGUUCUAAAGUAAAAGAUGGUUUUGCUAUCACUUAUAGAUGGACCCGCGCCGUAUUAGCUAGUUGGUAAGGUAACGGCUUACCAAGGCAACGAUACGUAGCCGACCUGAGAGGGUGAUCGGCCACACUGGAACUGAGACACGGUCCAGACUCCUACGGGAGGCAGCAGUAGGGAAUCUUCCGCAAUGGACGAAAGUCUGACGGAGCAACGCCGCGUGAGUGAUGAAGGUUUUCGGAUCGUAAAACUCUGUUAUUAGGGAAGAACAAAUGUGUAAGUAACUGUGCACAUCUUGACGGUACCUAAUCAGAAAGCCACGGCUAACUACGUGCCAGCAGCCGCGGUAAUACGUAGGUGGCAAGCGUUAUCCGGAAUUAUUGGGCGUAAAGCGCGCGUAGGCGGUUUCUUAAGUCUGAUGUGAAAGCCCACGGCUCAACCGUGG